AGCCAUGCGAGUCAUUGUAGUAAUACAAGGCAGACGGCUCAGUAACGCGUAGUCAACCUAACCUAUGGACGGGGAUAAUCUCGGGAAACUGAGCAUAAUACCCGAUAGAACAUUAUGCCUGGAAUGGUUUAUGUUCCAAAUGAUUUAUCGCCGUAGGAUGGGACUGCGGCCUAUCAGUUUGUUGGUGAGGUAAUGGCCCACCAAGACUAUUACAGGUACGGGCUCUGAGAGGAGUAGCCCGGAGAUGGGUACUGAGACACGGACCCAGGCCCUAUGGGGCGCAGCAGGCGAGAAAACUUUGCAAUGUGCGAAAGCACGACAAGGUUAAUCCGAGUGGUUUCUGCUAAAGGAACCUUUUGACAGUCCUAGAAACACUGUUGAAUAAGGGGUGGGCAAGUUCUGGUGUCAGCCGCCGCGGUAAAACCAGCACCUCAAGUGGUCAGGAUGAUUAUUGGGCCUAAAGCAUCCGUAGCCGGCUCUGUAAGUUUUCGGUUAAAUCUGUACCCUCAACGUACAGGCUGCCGGGAAUACUGCAGAACUAGGGAGUGGGAAAAGUAGACGGUACCUGGUAGGAAAGGGUAAAAUCCUUUGAUCCAAUGAUGACCACCUGUGGCCGAAGGCGGUCCACCAGAACACCGUCCGACGGUGAGGGAUGAAAGCUGGGGGAGCAAACCGGAUUAGAUACCCCGGGUAGUCCCAGCUGUAAACCAUGCAAACUCAGUGAUGCAUUGGCUUGUGGCCAAUGCAGUGCUGCAGGGAAGCCGUAAGUUUGCCGCCUGGGAAGUACGUACGCAAGUAUGAAACUUAAAAGGAAUUGGCGGGG
rnacentral:rRNA from 1 species